CCUACGGGAGGCAGCAGUGAGGAGUAUUGGUCAAUGGGCGCGAGCCUGAACCAGCCAAGUCGCGUGAGGGAGGACGGCCCUACGGGUUGUAAACCUCUUUUGCCGGGGAGCAACGGGCGCCACGUGUGGCGCCACUGAGAGUACCCGGAGAAAAAGCAUCGGCUAACUCCGUGCCAGCAGCCGCGGUAAUACGGAGGAUGCGAGCGUUAUCCGGAUUUAUUGGGUUUAAAGGGUGCGUAGGCGGAUCGUUAAGUCAGUGGUCAAAUUGAGGGGCUCAACCCCUUCCCGCCAUUGAAACUGGCGAUCUUGAGUGGAAGAGAAGUAUGCGGAAUGCGUGGUGUAGCGGUGAAAUGCAUAGAUAUCACGCAGAACCCCGAUUGCGAAGGCAGCAUGCCGGCUUCCGACUGACGCUGAAGCACGAAAGCGUGGGGAUCGAACAGGAUUAGAUACCCCAGUAGUC
rnacentral:rRNA from 1 species